rnacentral:rRNA from 1 species
AUGCUAUGUAAGUUUGUAGCUAAAAUUCUCCACUCCUCCGAUAUACCCUGCUUCAAGUGGUUUGCCUCCCAAUAUUGCAAGGAUUCUUUGCCUUUCAAGGGUCACCACAAAGAUACUGCUAUAUGGAAGGGUCUUAAGAGCUACAUCCCUCUGGUUGUCUCCUCCUCGCGCUGCUCUGUUGGCAGCGGCGCGCACGUCUCCUUUUGGCAUGAUCGAUGGCCGAUGCCUGACAGUUUGAAGCAAGCUUUCCCGGUCCUUUUCUCCUUUGCUCGCAAUCCAGACUGUUCUGUGCAAUCUCAGUUUAUAGAAGGAAACUGGCAUGUACAUCUGCAUCCAAACCUCUCACAGACUGCAACUCAGGAUUUGCAACUGCUUCACCAGCUUGUGGAUCAAGUCAACUUGGAUUUUUCAAGUUUGGAUGCAUGGGUUCCAAUGCUUGGAGGUAACAGUUUAUGCACCAGCUACUUCUACAAGUUGCUCACCUUCUGGGGAGUUCUUUGGGCUCCUGCGUUCUGGAUAUGGGACAAUAUUAUUCCCCUCAAGAGUAGAAUUUUCUUGUGGUUGGCUUUUUGGGGGCGCCUGAACACCAAGGCUAACAUGUUGCACAAAGGUUGGUCGGCAGUGGCUCCAACUGCUAGCUGCGAUGCUUGCCCGGCUGAGGAGACAGCUGACCAUCUGCUCCUUCGCCGCCGUCCCGCCGAUGCACUAUGGAGCAGGCUAUCGCUAGCACCGCUGGCGUGA